UACGAAGGGGGCUAGCGUUGCUCGGAAUCACUGGGCGUAAAGCGCACGUAGGCGGCUUCUUAAGUCAGGGGUGAAAUCCUGGAGCUCAACUCCAGAACUACCUUUGAUACUGGGGAGCUCGAGUCCGGGAGAGGUGAGUGGAACUGCGAGUGUAGAGGUGAAAUUCGUAGAUAUUCGCAAGAACACCAGUGGCGAAGGCGGCUCACUGGUCCGGUACUGACGCUGAGGUGCGAAAGCGUGGGGAGCAAACAGG
rnacentral:rRNA from 1 species